UGUCCCUACGGGAGGCAGCAGUGAGGAAUAUUGGUCAAUGGGCGAGAGCCUGAACCAGCCAAGUCGCGUGAGGGAAGACGGUCCUAUGGAUUGUAAACCUCUUUUGUCGGGGAGCAAAAGCCGGACGUGUCCGGCUGUGAGAGUACCCGAAGAAAAAGCAUCGGCUAACUCCGUGCCAGCAGCCGCGGUAAUACGGAGGAUGCGAGCGUUAUCCGGAUUUAUUGGGUUUAAAGGGUGCGCAGGCGGAUUUUUAAGUCAGCGGUUAAAUCGUGGGGCUCAACCCCAUCCAGCCGUUGAAACUGGGG
rnacentral:rRNA from 1 species